rnacentral:rRNA from 1 species
CGGCGGACGGGUGAGUAACACGUGGAUAACCUACCUAUAAGACUGGGAUAACUUCGGGAAACCGGAGCUAAUACCGGAUAAUAUAUUGAACCGCAUGGUUCAAUAGUGAAAGACGGUUUUGCUGUCACUUAUAGAUGGAUCCGCGCCGCAUUAGCUAGUUGGUAAGGUAACGGCUUACCAAGGCAACGAUAUGUAGCCGACCUGAGAGGGUGAUCGGCCACACUGGAACUGAGACACGGUCCAG